rnacentral:lncRNA from 1 species
UCUUCCUCCACUCCGGGUCCAUCACUUCCACUGCUCCGGCACCACACCCUUUUUGCCAUCACCCUUAUCGUAGAUGAAUGAAAUUUCUCUUUAUUCAUUCAUCUCGUUUACAUCCAUUUCGAUGAUGGAUGGAUUUGACAAAAGUAUUCAUUAUAUUUGUAAUAGUUUUAUUUAUUUUUUCUUCUUCUGCAAAUAUAUAUAUAUAUAUAUAUAUUGAAAAUAUAACGAUAUAAAAUUUAUACUUAACACAUCAAAACAUUAGAAAAUAUGAAUAUAGUAUAAUUCCUUACAAUAGAUAUAUUCUGGUACAUUUUAUUGAGAAAUAUUGUGAAUAUUUAUGUAUUUUCAUAUAUAAAUUACUCAGUAUAAAAAAAUACUAAUGUUUGGAAGGCAAAAAUACAUACCAAUAGGCACUUUAUACAUAGAAGCCAACUUUGAAAAGUCAUGGUUGAAGAGUCUUAUUAAGGUCAUCUUAGUGAAGAUUUUAUUUUUUAUUUUUAUUUUAUUUUUGUUUUUGGAAGCCUUAGCCUUUGGACAUGGCAUAAAGUGAGAAAAGACCAUGAAAUGAAAAAAAUCAUUCUUGUAUUAGGAAGUCUAAAUAUGUCAAUCUAUAACUUGAUUCAAACAAUUAGAAGAAGAAUUAAAAUUAUUAUUUUUUGAUAAUAUUUAAAGCAUUUUUUUUACAUGGCCUUUUUUAUUUAUUUCUAAAAAACACUUCUUUGGGAUGGGUCCAACAAAAAAUUAUAAAGAACAAUCUUAUUCAUGCAAAGUAGGAGAAAAAUCGCAUUCCACCUCAAUAUUUCUUUUGAAGACUUUUGGACUUAUUUUUCUAAGUAUAAAGCCAACUCUACAAGCCUUCUCAAUUUCAAGUAAUCAAAACAUUUAAAAAACGAUGCCUUU